rnacentral:rRNA from 1 species
UGCGGGGGGGGCAAGCGUUGUUCGGAAUUACUGGGCGUAAAGGGCUCGUAGGCGGCCAACUAAGUCAGACGUGAAAUCCCUCGGCUUAACCGGGGAACUGCAUCUGAUACUGGAUGGCUUGAGUUCGGGAGAGGGAUGCGGAAUUCCAGGUGUAGCGGUGAAAUGCGUAGAUAUCUGGAGGAAUACCGGUGGCGAAGGCGGCAUCCUGGACCGGCAUUGACGCUGAACGGCGAAAGCUAGGGGAGCAAACGGG